GCUAUUCGCAUGACAAGGCACUGCAAACUCUAUUCAGGGAAGAUAAUAGAGUUUCAAAACUUUACAAUUGCUCCAAUAAACCAGUGAAUGCAAGCGAGGAGCAAUUAGUUUCAGAGUGUUGCACUGUCUUUUUCUGUUCGAGUGUACUCCUACGUUUAUUUUGUAUCAUCAACACUCUGCACGUUGGAGUGGACUAUUUAAUUAUUUAUUUAUUAUGCCGAAUAUUGGGGGGG